rnacentral:rRNA from 1 species
GAAGGGGGCUAGCGUUGCUCGGAAUCACUGGGCGUAAAGGGUGCGUAGGCGGGUCUUUAAGUCAGGGGUGAAAUCCUGGAGCUCAACUCCAGAACUGCCUUUGAUACUGAAGAUCUUGAGUUCGGGAGAGGUGAGUGGAACUGCGAGUGUAGAGGUGAAAUUCGUAGAUAUUCGCAAGAACACCAGUGGCGAAGGCGGCUCACUGGCCCGAUACUGACGCUGAGGCACGAAAGCGUGGGGGAGCAAACAGGAUUAGAUACCCUGGUAGUCCACGCCGUAAACGAUGAAUGCCCAGCCGUUAGUGGGUUUACUCACUAGUGGCGCAGCUAACGCUUUAAGCAUUCCGCCCUGGGAGUACGGUCGCAAGAUUA